rnacentral:rRNA from 1 species
GGGGAGAUUCAUCGUCAGCGUAUUUGGUAUUAAUGCAAGUUAUGAUGUAAAUUUUAUGCUCUUUCGGGAACAAUAUUUAUACAUAUUUGUAUUAUUUUAUUGCUAAAUAUCGUCGGCGUGCACUUCUCCCCUAGUAGAACGUCGUGACCCGUUGGGUGUUGAUCUACGGCCCAAUUGAUAGCCUUUGAUAACGCUUUAAUCGGCGAUUAUUAUUAAAAAUCAUUGGUGUAUCCUGAUCAUCUGCCCGGCGGUAUUCGUACGAUAUUGAGUCGCAAAAUAUUAUAUAAUUUGCGUUAAACCCGUCACAAGCCCGGAUAAUUAUACAAUAGUUAUGGACCUAGUGCCAUCAUUGUAAUUGUCUAGCUGUUGGUUGUUGCGGUGUUCUUUAACUGGCUUAAAUAAUUUAUCGGU